AAUCAACGCUGGCGGCGUGCCUAACACAUGCAAGUCGAACGAGAAAGUGGAGCAAUCCAUGAGUAAAGUGGCGACCGGGUGAGUAACACGUGACUAACCUACCUUCGAGUGGGGGAUAACCUCGGGAAACCGGGGCUAAUACCGCAUAAUAUCGUGAGAUCAAAGGAGCAAUUCGCUUGAAGAGGGGGUCGCGGCUGAUUAGUUAGUUGGCGGGGUAACGGCCCACCAAGACAAAGAUCGGUAGCCGGCCUGAGAGGGCGCACGGCCACACUGGAAC
rnacentral:rRNA from 1 species